ensembl:misc_RNA Y_RNA Y RNA
GGCUGGUCUGAGUGCAGUGGUGUUUACAGUUAAUCAAUCACAACCAGUUAGGUAUCUUUGUUCCUUAUUCUCUCCCAUUGCUUUAUUUGACUAGGAAG